GACGAACGCUGGCGGCGUGCUUAACACAUGCAAGUCGAACGGAAAGGCCCUGCUUUUGUGGGGUGCUCGAGUGGCGAACGGGUGAGUAACACGUGAGUAACCUGCCCUUGACUUUGGGAUAACUUCAGGAAACUGGGGCUAAUACCGGAUAGGAGCUACUGCUGCAUGGUGGGGGUUGGAAAGUUUCGGCGGUUGGGGAUGGACUCGCGGCUUAUCAGCUUGUUGGUGGGGUAGUGGCUUACCAAGGCUUUGACGGGUAGCCGGCCUGAGAGGGUGACCGGCCACAUUGGGACUGAGAUACGGCCCAGACUCCUACGGGAGGCAGCAGUGGGGAAUAUUGCACAAUGGGCGGAAGCCUGAUGCAGCAACGCCGCGUGCGGGAUGACGGCCUUCGGGUUGUAAACCGCCUUCGCCUGUGACGAAGCGUGAGUGACGGUAAUGGGUAAAGAAGCACCGGCUAACUACGUG
rnacentral:rRNA from 1 species